AGUGAACGCUGGCGGUAGGCCUAACACAUGCCAGUCGAACGGCAGCACAGUAAGAGCUUGCUCUUACGGGUGGCGAGUGGCGGACGGGUGAGGAAUACAUCGGAAUCUACUUUUUCGUGGGGGAUAACGUAGGGAAACUUACGCUAAUACCGCAUACGACCUACGGGUGAAAGCAGGGGAUCUUCGGACCUUGCGCGAGUGAAUGAGCCGAUGGCGGAUUAGCUAGUGGGCGGGGUAAAGGCCCACCAAGGCGACGAUCCGUAGCUGGUCUGAGAGGAUGAUCAGCCACACUGGAACUGAGACACGGUCCAGACUCCUACGGGAGGCAGCAGUGGGGAAUAUUGGACAAUGGGCGCAAGCCUGAUCCAGCCAUACCGCGUGGGUGAAGAAGGCCUUCGGGUUGUAAAGCCCUUUUGUUGGGAAAGAAAAGCAGCAGGUUAAUACCCCGCUGUUCUGACGGUACCCAAAGAAUAAGCACCGGCUAACUUCGUG
rnacentral:rRNA from 1 species